AGACCCGAAACCCGGUGAUCUAGCCAUGGGCAGGUUGAAGGUUGGGUAACACUAACUGGAGGACCGAACCGACUAAUGUUGAAAAAUUAGCGGAUGACCUGUGGCUGGGGGUGAAAGGCCAAUCAAACCGGGAGAUAGCUGGUUCUCCCCGAAAGCUAUUUAGGUAGCGCCUCGUGAAUUCAUCUCCGGGGGUAGAGCACUGUUUCGGCUAGGGGGCCAUCCCGGCUUACCAACCCGAUGCAAACUGCGAAUACCGGAGAAUGUUAUCACGGGAGACACACGGCGGGUGCUAACGUCCGUCGUGAAGAGGGAAACAACCCAGACCGCCAGCUAAGGUCCCAAAGUCAUGGUUAAGUGGGAAACGAUGUGGGAAGGCCCAGACAGCCAGGAUGUUGGCUUAGAAGCAGCCAUCAUUUAAAGAAAGCGUAAUAGCUCACUGGUCGAGUCGGCCUGCGCGGAAGAUGUAACGGGGCUAAACCAUGCACCGAAGCUGCGGCAGCGAACGUAUCACCCAAGACAACUUUACGGAGUUGACGAUUGACGGAGCGAAGCGACGUCAAAGCGUUCAUUAAAGUCGAGUUGGCUUAGGGAUACGUUCGUUGGGUAGGGGAGCGUUCUGUAAGCCUGUGAAGGUGGCCUGUGAGGGUUGCUGGAGGUAUCAGAAGUGCGAAUGCUGACAUAAGUAACGAUAAAGCGGGUGAAAAGCCCGCUCGCCGGAAGACCAAGGGUUCCUGUCCAACGUUAAUCGGGGCAGGGUGAGUCGACCCCUAAGGCGAGGCCGAAAGGCGUAGUCGAUGGGAAACGGGUUAAUAUUCCCGUACUUGGUGUUACUGCGAAGGGGGGACGGAGAAGGCUAUGUUGGCCGGGCGACGGUUGUCCCGGUUUAAGCGUGUAGGUGUGUGUUCCAGGUAAAUCCGGUUCACUUUAACACUGAGGCGUGAUGACGAGGCACUACGGUGCUGAAGCAACAAAUGCCCUGCUUCCAGGAAAAGCCUCUAAGCAUCAGGUAACAUCAAAUCGUACCCCAAACCGACACAGGUGGUCAGGUAGAGAAUACCAAGGCGCUUGAGAGAACUCGGGUGAAGGAACUAGGCAAAAUGGUGCCGUAACUUCGGGAGAAGGCACGCUGACACGUAGGUGAAGUGAUUUACUCAUGGAGCUGAAGUCAGUCGAAGAUACCAGCUGGCUGCAACUGUUUAUUAAAAACACAGCACUGUGCAAACACGAAAGUGGACGUAUACGGUGUGACGCCUGCCCGGUGCCGGAAGGUUAAUUGAUGGGGUCAGCGCAAGCGAAGCUCCUGAUCGAAGCCCCGGUAAACGGCGGCCGUAACUAUAACGGUCCUAAGGUAGCGAAAUUCCUUGUCGGGUAAGUUCCGACCUGCACGAAUGGCGUAAUGAUGGCCAGGCUGUCUCCACCCGAGACUCAGUGAAAUUGAACUCGCUGUGAAGAUGCAGUGUACCCGCGGCAAGACGGAAAGACCCCGUGAACCUUUACUAUAGCUUGACACUGAACAUUGAGCCUUGAUGUGUAGGAUAGGUGGGAGGCUUUGAAGUGUGGACGCCAGUCUGCAUGGAGCCGACCUUGAAAUACCACCCUUUAAUGUUUGAUGUUCUAACGUGGACCCGUGAUCCGGGUUGCG
rnacentral:rRNA from 1 species